rnacentral:lncRNA from 10 species
AGUUGAGCGAGGCUGCUCGCAACCCCUAACACCGCCUGGGUCUCCCAGCCGCCUGGUCUCCCCACACCCGCCCGCCCGAAGGGAUUUUAGGGGCCUGCGUGCCGAGAAAGGAACACCCCAUGCCUCCCUAGGGGAAAUUACUUUUGGCAUUUUUUUUUUUUGAGACGUUGUCUCGCUCUGUCUCCCAGGCUGGGGUGCAGUGGCACGAUCUCGGCUCACUGCAGCCUCCACCCCCUGGAUUCAAG